AACGAACGCUGGCGGCAGGCCUAACACUUGCAAGUCGAGCGGACCUUUCGGGGUCAGCGGCGGACGGGUGAGUAACGCGUGGGAAUAUGCCCUUCUCUACGGCAUAGUCCUGGGAAACUGGGGGUAAUACCGUAUACGCCCUUUGUGGGAAAGAUUUAUCGGGGAAGGAUUAGCCCGCGUUGGAUUAGGUAGUUGGUGGGGUAAUGGCCUACCAAGCCGACGAUCCAUAGCUGGUUUGAGAGGAUGAUCAGCCACACUGGGACUGAGACACGGCCCAGACUCCUACGGGAGGUAGCAGUGGGGGAUCUUAGACAAUGGGGGCGACCCUGAUCUAGCCAGGCCGCGUGAGUGAUGAAGGCCUUAGGGUUGUAAAGCUCUAGCAGCGGGGAAGAUAAUGACGGUACCAGCAGAAGAAGCCCCGGCUAACUCCGUG
rnacentral:rRNA from 1 species